GCCCCGGUAGCUCAGCCUGGUUGGAGCGCCUGCCUCGUAAGCAGGAGGUCCCGGGUGGCGGCCUUGGUCGCCCGGGAAUUCAAAUCCCGGCCGGGGCU
rnacentral:tRNA from 1 species